CAUCUUUGCACCUGUCAGUCUGCCACAGUCCAAGUCUUUCUUCAGCUCCUGGGGUAGCUUCCCUAAGCUGAGCGAUGAGCCUCAAAACCCUCCUCCGCUUCCUCCUCG